rnacentral:tRNA from 1 species
GCCCUUGUAGCUUAGUGGUAGAGCGUUGCACUUGUACCAUCACGAGGCAUGCAAAGGUCGGCGGUUCAAUUCCGCUCGGGGGCA